GGGGUUGUGGCUCAGUGGUAGAGUGCUUGCCUGGCAUGUAUGAGGUGCUGGAUUUGAUCCUCAGCACCACA
rnacentral:tRNA from 1 species